UACGGGGGGGGCAAGCGUUGUUCGGAAUUACUGGGCGUAAAGGGCUCGUAGGCGGCCAACUAAGUCGGAUGUGAAAUCCCCAGGCUUAACCUGGGAACUGCAUCCGAUACUGGAUGGCUUGAAUCCGGGAGAGGGAUGCAGAAUUCCAGGUGUAGCGGUGAAAUGCGUAGAUAUCUGGAGGAAUACCGGUGGCGAAGGCGGCAUCCUGGACCGGCAUUGACGC
rnacentral:rRNA from 1 species